ACCGAAAAGGGUUAAUAUCAAUUGAGUGCUUAACACUGAAACAAAUAUUUCGUUGGAUGUUUAAGCUAAAUUCGAAUAAGAUGUUUAUUCUUCUGACAUACACAGUGGUAUAUGUUUUUUACAAUUCGAAAGCAGAAGUGUCUGCACCUAAUGUUGCUUUAAAGAAAAGUUGCCUAGUUGAACAACAGUUCGGAAUAGUAAAUCUGUGAUACGUUACGAGUCGUCUGGUCUUGACAAACAAACUGGUAAUGGCAACAUGCGGUACUUUCUGCUUCUGGAACACAGGAGAAGUCCGGUAUAGAAUAACUACAGCCGUUUACUUCGACAAUAGUACGGUCAUUCUUGGAAAACUACGUUUGAAAGAGAAGGUUUGGAUUUGUUCCCAGUUUUAG